rnacentral:rRNA from 1 species
GGAAUUUUCCGCAAUGGGCGAAAGCCUGACGGAGCAACGCCGCGUGAGGGAUGAAGGCCUCUGGGCUGUAAACCUCUUUUAUCAAGGAAGAAGAUCUGACGGUACUUGAUGAAUAAGCCACGGCUAAUUCCGUGCCAGCAGCCGCGGUAAUACGGGAGUGGCAAGCGUUAUCCGGAAUUAUUGGGCGUAAAGCGUCCGCAGGCGGCCCUUCCAGUCUGCUGUUAAAAAGUGGUGCUUAACUCCAUCAUGGCAGUGGAAACUGUUGGGCUUGAGUGUGGUAGGGGCAGAGGGAAUUCCCGGUGUAGCGGUGAAAUGCGUAGAUAUCGGGAAGAACACCAGUGGCGAAGGCGCUCUGCUGGGCCAUAACUGACGCUCAUGGACGAAAGCCAGGGGAGCGAAAGGGAUUAGAUACCCCUGUAGUC